AGUGAACGCUGGCGGUAGGCCUAACACAUGCAAGUCGAACGGCAGCACAGUAAGAGCUUGCUCUUACGGGUGGCGAGUGGCGGACGGGUGAGGAAUACAUCGGAAUCUACUUUUUCGUGGGAGAUAACGUAGGGAAACUUACGCUAAUACCGCAUACGACCUACGGGUGAAAGCAGGGGAUCUUCGGACCUUGCGCGAUUGAAUGAGCCGAUGUCGGAUUAGCUAGUUGGCGGGGUAAAGGCCCACCAAGGCGACGAUCCGUAGCUGGUCUGAGAGGAUGAUCAGCCACACUGGAACUGAGACACGGUCCAGACUCCUACGGGAGGCAGCAGUGGGGAAUAUUGGACAAUGGGCGCAAGCCUGAUCCAGCCAUACCGCGUGGGUGAAGAAGGCCUUCGGGUUGUAAAGCCCUUUUGUUGGGAAAGAAAGGCAGCAGGUUAAUACCCCGCUGUUCUGACGGUACCCAAAGAAUAAGCACCGGCUAACUUCGUG
rnacentral:rRNA from 1 species